CUUCUACACCUAGCUCAGAGAAGUGGGACCGUCAUUCCCCUUUACCCCUUGGCGGCAGGUAGCCUAGUGGUUAGAGCGUAGGGGCGGCAGGUAGCCUAGUGGUUAGAGUGGAGGGGCGGCAGGUAGCCUAGUGGUUAGAGUGUAGGGGCGGCAGGUAGCCUAGUGGUUAGAGUGUAGGGGCGGCAGGUAGCCUAGUGGUUAGAGUGUAGGGGCGGCAGGUAGCCUAGUGGUUAGAGUGUAGGGGCGGCAGGUAGCCUAGUGGUUAGAGUGUAGGGGCGGCAGGUAGCCUAGUGGUUAGAGUGUAGGGGCGGCAGGUAGCCUAGUGGUUAGAGUGGAGGGGCGGCAGGUAGCCUAGUGGUUAGAGUGUAGGGGCGGCAGGUAGCCUAGUGGUUAGAGUGUAGGGGCGGCAGGUAGCCUAGUGGUUAGAGUGUAGGGGCGGCAGGUAGCCUAGUGGUUAGAGUGUAGGGGCGGCAGGUAGCCUAGUGGUUAGAGUGUAGGGGCAGCAGGUAGCCUAGUGGUUAGAGUGUAGGGGCGGCAGGUAGGCUAGUGGUUAGAGUGUAGGGGCGGCAGGUAGCCUAGUGGUUAGAGUGGAGGGGCGGCAGGUAGCCUAGUGGUUAGAGUGUAG